CUACGGGACGCUGCAGUGAGGAAUAUUGCACAAUGGGGGGAACCCUGAUGCAGCAACGCCGCGUGGAGGAUGACGCAUUUCGGUGUGUAAACUCCUUUUAUAUGUCAAGAAAAUGACGGUAGCAUAUGAAUAAGCACCGGCUAACUCCGUGCCAGCAGCCGCGGUAAUACGGAGGGUGCAAGCGUUACUCGGAAUCACUGGGCGUAAAGGACGCGUAGGCGGGUUGGAAAGUCAGGUGUGAAAGCCUACAGCUUAACUGUAGAACUGCACUUGAAACUUCUAAUCUAGAGUAUGGGAGGGGGAGAUGGAAUUAGUGGUGUAGGGGUAAAAUCCGUAGAUAUCACUAGGAAUACCUAAAGCGAAGGCGAUCCCCUGGAACAUUACUGACGCUAAGGCGUGAAAGCGUGGGGAGCAAACAGGAUUAGAUACCCUCGUAGUC
rnacentral:rRNA from 1 species